rnacentral:rRNA from 1 species
GAUAGGCUUAACACAUGCAAGUCGAGGGGCAGCAUAAGAGUAUCAAUACUUUGGUGGCGACCGGCGCACGGGUGAGUAACGCGUAUGCAACCUACCCAUAACUGAGGAAUAACCCGUCGAAAGUCGGACUAAUACCUCAUAAUAAUUAUUGUUCGCAUGGAUGAUAAUUUAAAGAUUUAUCGGUUGAAGAUGGGCAUGCGUUCCAUUAGCUUGUUGGUGAGGUAACGGCUCACCAAGGCUACGAUGGAUAGGGGAACUGAGAGGUUUAUCCCCCACACUGGAACUGAGACACGGUCCAGACUCCUACGGGAGGCAGCAGUGAGGAAUAUUGGUCAAUGGAGGCAACUCUGAACCAGCCAAGUCGCGUGAAGGAUGAAGGUCUUAUGGAUUGUAAACUUCUUUUGCAAGGGAAUAAAGUGGGGGACGUGUCCUCCUUUGCAUGUACCUUGCGAAUAAGGAUCGGCUAACUCCGUGCCAGCAGCCGCGGUAAUACGGAGGAUCCGAGCGUUAUCCGGAUUUAUUGGGUUUAAAGGGUGCGCAGGCGGGAUGUUAAGUCGGCGGUGAAAUUUUGCAGCUCAACUGUAAAAGUGCCUUCGAUACUGGCUUUCUUGAGUGUGGAUGAAGUAGGCGGAAUUUGUGGUGUAGCGGUGAAAUGCUUAGAUAUCACGAGGAACUCCGAUUGCGCAGGCAGCUUACUAAACCACUACUGACGCUCAUGCACGAAGGCGUGGGGAUCAAACAGGAUUAGAUACCUUGGUAGUCCACACUGUAAACGAUGAUAACUCGCUGUCGGCGAUACACAGUCGGUGGCCAAGCGAAAGCAUUAAGUUAUCCACCUGGGGAGUACGACCGCAAGGUUGAAACUCAAAGGAAUUGACGGGGGCCCGCACAAGCGGAGGAACAUGUGGUUUAAUUCGAUGAUACGCGAGGAACCUUACCCGGGCUCGAACGGUGCAUGAAUAUACGAGAGAUUGUAUAGUCCUUCGGGACAUGUAUCGAGGUGCUGCAUGGUUGUCGUCAGCUCGUGCCGUGAGGUGUCGGCUUAAGUGCCAUAACGAGCGCAACCCUUGUCAUUAGUUGCCAUCAGGUCAAGCUGGGGACUUUAAUGAGACUGCCACCGUAAGGUGUGAGGAAGGGGGGGAUGACGUCAAAUCAGCACGGCCCUUAUGUCCGGGGCGACACACGUGUUACAAUGGGAGGUACAGAGGGCAGCUAUCCGGUGACGGAAUGCUAAUCUCCAAAACCUUUCUCAGUUCGGAUUGGAGUCUGCAACUCGACUCCAUGAAGGUGGAUUCGCUAGUAAUCGCGCAUCAGCCAUGGCGCGGUGAAUACGUUCCCGGGCCUUGCACUCACCGCCCGUCAAG